GCGCGGUGGCCGGGCACGGCCUGGUGCUGCACACCGGCGGGGAGGCGGCCCGCGCCGAACCGGCCGCUCUGCUCGGUGCCGCGCGC
rnacentral:tRNA from 1 species